rnacentral:rRNA from 1 species
UACGAGGGGGCAAGCGUUGUUCGGAAUUAUUGGGCGUAAAGGGUGCGUAGGCGGUCUGACAAGUCUGAUGUGAAAUCGUAUGGGCUCAACCCAUAAGUCGUGCAUCGGGAAACUGGUCGGGCUUGAGUAUGGGAGAGGUGAGUGGAAUUUCCGGUGUAGCGGUGAAAGUGCGUAGAUAAUCGGAAGGAACACCUGUGGCGAAAGCGGCUCACU